ACCUGGGUGGCUCAGUCAGUUAAGCAUCUGACUUCAGCUCAGGUCAUGAUCUCACGGUUCGUGGGUUCGAGCCCCACGUCGGGCU
rnacentral:tRNA from 1 species